rnacentral:rRNA from 1 species
UACGGGGGGAGCAAGCGUUGUUCGGAUUUACUGGGCGUAAAGGGCGCGUAGGCGGUCAGCACAAGUCAGUUGUGAAAUCUCCGGGCUUAACUCGGAAAGGUCAACUGAUACUGUGCGACUAGAGUGCGGAAGGGGCAACUGGAAUUCUCGGUGUAGCGGUGAAAUGCGUAGAUAUCGAGAGGAACACCUGCGGCGAAGGCGGGUUGCUGGGCCGACACUGACGCUGAUGCGCGAAAGCAUGGGGAGCGAACAGG